GGAACCGUAGCAUCUGCGGACAGUUUUUCCGGAAUCUCGGCAACCUUUAUACUUCAAAGUUGCCAUCAUCAGAGCUAGGAAUUUUUAGAGCUACAGGGCUCUCCAAGUAGUAUUCAGUGUGGAGUGUGCAGGACAUCAGGUGGAAGUGCGUCUGCUUGCAAUAUAACCAGGGCUAUGCAGUUUUUCUUCUACUUCACUUGCAAGUGGGAUCAAUGUUUGCAACCGUUGCACAUUGGUUGUGCUUAAUUCGAAAACUGUAUUUUUCGUGGCUUAUGAGUGGCCUUUGAGGUAAUACAGGCUUGAUUUGUUGAUUUCAGGAAAUGUACUCUGUUUUCCAUUUAUUUGUUGCUUUAUUUGUUGAUUUCAGGAAAUGUACUCUGUGGUCCAUUUUUUGGCGGAAAAUGAUGUUGCAGUUGUUCCUACCUGUUGGGCGUGCAAUGGCCGCACGGCAUGGCCACCCUACAGGUCAAAUCGGUUGAUGAUGGCAAUUGAGAGCGUGAAGAGCCCUUUACUGACUGGGCCACAUUCUCCUGUCAGGUGAUGGCAUCAUGUUUGACAUAUGAAGAUGCAAAGUUCAAAGAAAAAAAAUCCAGAAGCGACGUCCGACCUAUCAACGAAUAAUGAAGAGCGGGAGAAAAGAAAAAGGAAGAGACUGCUCCUUUUCCGUCAAGCUUGCCUCUUCUGCAGGAACGACCUAGCACUCAGCCAGCCCCUCCAACUUCCAGAACGUGCACCAGUGCCCAAGCAAAAACGCACACGUGAGCAGCGUGCCUCUUCCCAGGAGUGACUGAGGGGCUGCCACAAGGGGAGAAGGCAAGCAUGUUUCUGAUUACAAGAAUGGACAGUUGGGCUGGGCUAGUUGGUAAGAAUUGAUGUUGAAAAACGGUGCAAAAACCAGACAAAGAGAAAAGAACACACAGCACCUUGUCCUGUGUGUUCUCUUAUCCGUGCAUUUUGCACUGUUUUUCAGCAUGUUUCUGCCUUGAUUUUUCGGUUAUAGUUUUAAAUGUCUGUAGUUGGUUACUUUGAUCCCUGUUGGAAGCAUGGAAUUGGUUAACCGUCUUAAAUGCAUGGAAUUGAAAAAAAAAGAUUCAUGUUACCUAAAUCAUUUAAAAGGUUUUUUUUCUGCUGCUUGCUGCUUGCUUUAUGUUGCUGGGAAUUUUAAUAUUUUGCAUUUUUAUUUCCAUGCAGAUCAGCCUUGUAAUUUAGCAUGUUCUUUACAAUUU